AUGGCAUUUUUUUUGGGGGGGGGGGGGGUAUUAAGGCCUGAGAGUAGAGAGGCAAGAGAGAGAAAGAAAGGCCUCCCCUCCUCUUUCCCCUUCAACGUGAGGAGAGAGAGUAGGCGGGAAACAGGCCCAGAAGCAGCCCCCAUGGCAAGGCAGCAAGGAAGGAAGGCAGCAAGGCAGGGGCCUCUCCUCCUCCCGCCCAAACCGAGCCCUCCCCCGCUGCCCCGUCUUUCUCUCUGUGCGAGGACAUCUCGCCUAGAUGGUGCUGAGGAGGCUCCAGCUCCGCCGCCACUACCGCCGCGUCCGUCCCUUCAGCCCUUGUGGGGGAGGGACCGUCCCCAACCGGGGUUCUUAUAUAGCUACCUCAGCCCGAGUGUGCCGUGUGCAUCUCCCUCUCCGCUCGGUACCAAACCGCCGCCGCCGUGGCCGCCGCCUCCUCCCACUCCGCAGUGCUGCUGCUGCUGCUGCGGGAAGCUGGCUGGGCUCCUACUACUCACUACGCCUGCCGCGGCCUCCUCCUCCUCAUUCACCAAAGCGGCUUACGCCAAUUCGCUGGCCUCCUUCUUCUUCCCCAAGCGCCACGCGCCGCCCGCCUCCCCCCCGUUUGCGGCAACCAGGCCCGGCGCAGAGGCUCGCGUAGAGGGGUGUGUGUUGCCUAUGGAGUAACCUAUGCAUGCGAGAGCUGGACCAUAAGGAAGGCUGAGCUAAGGAAGAUAGACACUUUUGAACUCUGGUGCUGGAGGAAAAUCCUGAGAGUGCCUUGGACCGCAAGAAGAUCCAACCAGUCCAUCCUCCAGGAAAUAAUGCCCGGCUGCUCACUGGGGGGAAGGAUAUUAGAGGCAAAGCUGAAGUAUUUUGGCCACAUCAUGAGGAGACAGGAAAGCUUGGAAAAGAUCACGAUGCUGGGGAAAAUGGAAGGAAAAAGGAAGAGAGGCCGACCAAGGGCAAGAUGGAUGGUGUUGUGAGACCCAGCCACAGGCUGGCCAGAUUCAAGAUGAAGAUGAAGGGGAUUCUGGUUUUGGGAUUCAAGAGCUGUCUGAGGCUGAAGCCAGCUCAGAGAUGCAAUUUCACUUUGAGCAGGAUGAACUGCUGACCCCAGGAGAGAUAGAUAACGGUCAGGCUGACAUUCUCUUGAGAAAUGAUGAGGGAGAAACUUCAGCUUUGAGAAAUAAUGAGGGAGACGGUUUAGCUCCAGGCCAGGUGCAAGAUAAUGGUAGCACAAGCAGUGAGUUAUCCAGAGAGGACCGUUUGUCUUGGAUGGGUUCCCAGUUUCGUCGAAGUGAGCGUUUGGCACGGGAAAGGGAGACUAGCUGUGGGAAAAGGAACGCCUUUCUGGGUUGUUAUUAAAGUGUGCUUUUGCAGAUCACUCUUUGUCAGAGCAAUUCCUCGCUUCAUCUAGGUGGAUGUUCUCCUCGUCAGUGUUCUUGGAUUCUUGGGCUUUGUUCUUUGGACUCUAUGGACUAUUACCUUGCCUUGUAGAUUAUUGCUCUUGCCAUGCUCUUUGAACUUAUGGACCUUGCAUUUUGGAUUAUUGGACAUUUCUUUACCUUGUGAUCUUAUUGGAUUUAUUGACUCUUUCACUACAACUUUGAACUAUCUUUUGAUUGCUUGCUUGACUUAUUCCCUGCUUUCCAUAAUAAAAACCUCAAAAGACUACUUGUGUGUCUGACUGGGUAACUAUAGCAAGGUGAACUUAGCCUGAGGUGCGACAGAUUUUUUUAAAAAUAUAUAUAUAUUUUUAUUGAAGUUUUACCUUAUAAGAUAGAGUAAUUAACAUCGAAAGAGUGAGAACAUUUGAUUGUAUAGAAAGUGGGAAAACUGAGAUUUAAAAAGGAUCAAAAAGGGAGAGAGAAAAAACCAAAAACCAAAAACAAAGCUAAAAUGUCCAUAUUUAUAUAAAAAAGAAAAAAAAUCUGAACAAAUUGCAAUAUAAAAAUGCAAAGUACUUGGCAAAGAAAU
rnacentral:lncRNA from 11 species